AAUUAAUCGAUUAUAAAUAUAAUUCAUCCUCUGUCCACUGCAGCUGCAAAUUGGCAGUCCAGCUUUCAACUCUGAUGAACCACUUCUACCGUCACCAAACACGCUGGGUUGAUCAUCUGCUUGGCAGGCACCUGAGCUCACUAGUGGGUCUAUACAGGCCGGGCCUUUGUUCAGCUCUCUCUCUCUUCACCCUGCUGUAGCAGCACCUUUGUGGUGCUAGGUACUGGGCAGCUUGGGCACACAAGGUGAAUCUACAUAUAUCAGUAGGCCGGUAUAGGACCAGCAGCCACCAGGAAGGGUUUAUGGUUUUAUCAGGG